rnacentral:rRNA from 1 species
ACGCUCGACACCUACGUGAGGCAGCAGUGGGGAAUAUUGGGCAAUGGGCGCAAGCCUGACCCAGCAACGCCGCGUGAAGGAAGAAGGCUCUCGGGUUGUAAACUUCUUUUGACAGGGACGAAACAAAUGACGGUACCUGUCGAAUAAGCUCCGGCUAACUACGUGCCAGCAGCCGCGGUAAUCUGAGCGGGCUGGCAAGGC